rnacentral:tRNA from 1 species
GGAGUUGUAGCUCAGCAGUAGAGCGCUUGCCUCAUACAUAUGAGGCACUGGGUUCCAUUCCUAGCACCA